rnacentral:rRNA from 1 species
GUGCCAGCAGCCGCGGUAACACGUAGGGGGCAAGCGUUGUCCGGAUUUAUUGGGCGUAAAGAGCUCGUAGGUGGCUCGGUAAGUCGGGUGUGAAAUUUCGAGGCUCAACCUCGAGACGCCACNUGAUACUGCUGUGGCUAGAGUCCGGUAGGGGAGCGUGGAAUUCCUGGUGUAGCGGUGAAAUGCGCAGAUAUCAGGAGGAACACCAGCGGCGAAGGCGGCGCUCUGGGCCGGUACUGACACUGAGGAGCGAAAGCGUGGGGAUCAAACAGGAUUAGAUACCCUGGUAGUCCACGCCGUAAACGUUGGGCACUAGGUGUGGGGCUCUAUCAACGGGCUCCGUGCCGAAGCUAACGCAUUAAGUGCCCCGCCUGGGGAGUACGGCCGCAAGGCUAAAACUCAAAGGAAUUGACGGGGGCCCGCACAAGCGGCGGAGCAUGUUGCUUAAUUCGAGGCAACGCGAAGAACCUUACCUGGGUUUGACANGUAGGGAAAANCCAUAGAGAUAUGGUGUCCUUUUGGGCCCUACACAGGUGGUGCAUGGCNGUCGUCAGCUCGUGUCGUGAGAUGUUGGGUUAAGUCCCGCAACGAGCGCAACCCUUAUCCUAUGUUGCCAGCGCGUAAUGGCGGGGACUCGUGGGAGACUGCCGGGGUCAACUCGGAGGAAGGUGGGGACGACGUCAAGUCAUCAUGCCCCUUAUAUCCAGGGCUGCAAACAUGCUACAAUGGCCGGUACAAAGGGCUGCUAUACCGCGAGGCGGAGCCAAUCCCCCAAAGCCGGUCUCAGUUCAGAUCGCAGGCUGCAACUCGCCUGCGUGAAGCCGGAGUUGCUAGUAAAUGCGCGUCAGCUAUAGCGCAUUGAAUACGUUCUCGGGCCU